rnacentral:rRNA from 1 species
GACGAACGCUGGCGGCGUGCUUAACACAUGCAAGUCGAACAGAAAGGCCCUGCUUGCAGGGUACUCGAGUGGCGAACGGGUGAGUAACACGUGGGUGAUCUGCCCUGCACUUCGGGAUAAGCCUGGGAAACUGGGUCUAAUACCGGAUAGGAGCCAUUUUAGUGUGAUGGUUGGAAAGUUUUUUCGGUGUAGGAUGAGCUCGCGGCCUAUCAGCUUGUUGGUGGGGUAAUGGCCUACCAAGGCGGCGACGGGUAGCCGGCCUGAGGGGGUGGACGGCCACAUUGGGCCUGGGGUCCGGCCCAGACCCCUACGGGGGGCAGCAGUGGGGAAUUUUGCACAAUGGGCGGAACCCUGUUGCCGCGACCCCGGGGGGGGGAUGACGGCCUUCGGGUUGUAAACCCCUUUCGCGGGGGACGAAGCUUUUUGUGCCGGUACCUAGAUAAGAAGCCCCGGCUACCUACGU